GUGGUUGUGCUAGAGUGGUUAUUGGGCAUGACUAAAAAUCAUGUGGGCUUUGCCUGCGCAAGUUCGAAUCUUGUUGAUCAUG